CUUGAAGAUUCAAGAAAGCUGACGUCAAGUAGAUUGUAACUUGCUGGAGCAUUCCACACGGAUGCUGUUUAUUUGCCCUUUGAAAAUCAAGAUGAAGAAUUCAAUACCAAAACCAAGUAGAGGUAUUGUCUUGUAUUGGUACCAGUGGGUGGACGGAAAGUCACUGUACCCCGAACACCUGAGGAAACUUGGAGAGAGGACGAUCGAGAGAAAGAACCCAAAACGAUAUUAGAGAGAAUCUUUACCUUAUCAGCUUCCCUGCGUCCAUGGAGGGCUGUUCACCAACAUGGUCCGCUGCAAAAAACAACAUCCGUUGGCAAGUCCUUCACGGUGCAUUUGUGUCCUGCAUUCGGUGAGGACUCCCACCUCUACGCGCCGAAUUGAAGUCUGAAAUUCCCAGAGAUUUGACAGUGAGUGUACCGCAUGCAUAAAAGCACCUGGAAAACAUUGACACUCAUCUUUAAGGCUGUCCAUUGGAGGUGACCUCCGGUUGUUGUUCUGCGACACAUCGCACAAGAAGUAUCCGUCCUUAUCGGAGCCUGGGUCUG